UGUCGCUGACAUUCUCCGUAAGGGGGGAGCCCGCACGAUGCUUGACCACAAUUUGGACAAGUAAAUGCACAAGGACAAGAACGGCGAGAUUUAGGAAAUUAAUUUAUAGAGCACUAACUGGGAAUUUGGAUAUGGGCGUCUGGAAAAAGACAGCC
rnacentral:ribozyme from 1 species